rnacentral:tRNA from 1 species
AGUGAGGUGGCUGAGUGGUGACAAUGAUGGACUGCUAAUCUGUUGUGCUCUGCACACGUGGGUUCAAAUCCCCCCCCCCCAA